rnacentral:lncRNA from 1 species
GCCCGCGCCCCCUCCGCGGAGCCCCGAGCGCGGCUCGACCCGGGCCGGCCACGCCGAGCACCCCACCCCGGGCCUGGGGCCUCGGGCCGGAGUGGCGCGGAGGCCGGCGAAGAUGGUGGCGGCUGCUCCGGUGAGUGCGCUCGCUCGCCCUCCCGCUCGCUCGCUCGCCCGGCGCGGGAAACCUGUUGUGCGCUCCGGGCGCGGCGGCGGCGGCGGCGGCGGGACGGCCGGGGCGCGGGGCGGGGGUCGGGCCGUUGGGCGGGCGCCGGGCGAGCCGGGUCGUGGCGCGCACGCGGAGGGGCCGGAGGGGCCCGAGGGGGCGGCGGCCCGGAGCGGCGGGGCCCGGCUCGCCCGGCGCACACAAUGGCCCCCGGGGGCGCUCGCACGAGGGAGGCGCGGGGGGGGGGCGGGCGCGGCGCGGGGCCGUGCGGGCAAAGUUUGUCCCGGGGGCGAGAGUUGAGGCGCCUGCAGAACAAAGCGGCGGCGGCGGCGGCACAUGGGGCGGGCCGCGGGCCGGGAGGGGGCGCGCCCACGAGGAACCGGCGGGCGGGCGAGCGGCCCCGAAACUUUGUGCGCGCCGCGGCUCGCGGGGACGGACGGGGGGUCCCGGGGCCCCCCGCGCUCCGCCCGCGUGGGCUUUGUGUGCCGCCGCCGCGUGGGCUGCUGCCCCCCAGGGUGGGUGGGCGAGCGGGCGGCCCAGAGUUCCCCCCCGGCCGGUGGCCCCCGGAGCGCCCCAGCUCGCGCGCGCGCGGGGGGACGGUGCGGCCCCGGGGCCAGGCGAGCGCGGCGGGGCCGGGCGAGCGGGCUGGGCAGGAGCGGCGGGGCCGCCGCCAUGUUCCUGCGGGGCGGGCCGCGCCGAGCCAGCCAGCGAGCGAGCGAGCGCGCGCGCCGAGGGCGGGGGACAUGGCGGCGACUGCGCGCCGCCGCCGAUUGUUCCCGGCUUAGGCCGCGGGCCGCGUGCGUGCGUGCGUGCGGCGAGCCCCGUGCCCGGCCCCACCUCCCCCGGAGCCGCCGGGCCCGCGGGACACAAAGGACGGACGGACGGACGGCGUGUCCCCCAGCCUCGCUGCGCCCGGGCCUCGCUCGCCUGCUCGCCGCCCAGAAACGGGCGGCGGGCGCGGGGGCCCUGGGCGCGCACGGGCGGCUCUGACCUGCCCCCUGGCGGCCGCGCGGGGACCCGCAGCGCCGCUCGCCCCCUUGUGCGAGCCUGCGAGCGACAUGUGCUGCCUGCCGGCCCGGGCUCCAUGAGCGAGCGUGGCGGGCGGGCGGGCACUUGGCGGUGUGCGGGGCUCCCGUCCGGCUUUCUCUCCAGCAGCCGGCCCCCGGGGGAGCACACCGCAGACGGCAGCGGGCUCGUGGGCUUUUGUGUGUGUGCGAGCGCGCGUGUGGGUGGCCGGGAAGGAGAGAAUUAGCCGCAUGCCACGAGGAUCCCAGCAGUUGGGGCAGCAACUCUUUUAUCCCGGCUUGCAGCCACGAGGUCCGAUGGGGGGAGGGGUGGCGAAGAAUGGUCCCUGGCCUGACCUCUCCCUCCAGCCUGCGCCGGGCCCCCUAGAGUUUCAGGGUCGAUGCCGGUGGCCUUGUAGUCUCGAAGCUAAUUCGUACACGUAUCCGGCCGGAGCUUUGUGAAUUAUUUUUUUUCAACUUUAUCUUUUCCACUCACCCAACACGUUGUUGGCCUGGCUCUAUGGCCCUUGGUUUUGCAAAUGGACAUGGGGUCGUCCUUUAGGAAGGCAAGCCAGGAGAACACCAGGUUCGAGUGGGGUUUAGGAAGCCGUGGUAAUUUUGAGAAAUGCGCUUAUCCUUUCUCUGUCUUCACCCCCCCCCCCCCAGUCAUACACGUGGACCUAGCAGCACCCGAAGCUUUGCCCAACGAUACUGGCUGAGAAGGAAGUUUGCCUGCGUGGUGUCUGCCAAUUUGGAGGAAGAAAAGGAGCUGCUGCCUGCAUCUGGGCUUCCUCGCAAGCAGGAAUGCAGAGCGCGUCACCUUGUGAGACUGGAGACUGAUGGAGUCAGGAUAAUGUCAAAGUGCUUACAGUGCAGGUAGUGAUAUGCACAUCUACUGCAGUGCAGGCACUUGUGGCAUUAUGGUGACAGCCGCCUCGCUCGGGAGCCACGGUGGGCGCGGAGUGACAGCGAGGGCCGCCUGCUGGUGCUGAGUGCUUUUUGUUCUAAGGUGCAUCUAGUGCAGAUAGUGAAGUAGACUAGCAUCUACUGCCCUAAGUGCUCCUUCUGGCAUAAGAAGUUAUGUCGUCACCUAAUGGAGUCGAGCAAGCGUGUAGGGGUCUCUUAAUGGUCUCUGUCUGCAGCCCUCUGUUAGUUUUGCAUACUUGCACUACAAGAAGAAUGCAGUUGUGCAAAUCUAUGCAAAACUGAUGGUGGCCUGCUAUUAACUUCAAGUGUUGUGUUUUCCUUUUCCUUUUUGACUAAUGCUGUGCUUUGGUUGUGUCGAUUAGAGUCUGCGUGGUGUGUGUGACAGACAGCUUCUGUGGCACUAAAGUGCUUAUAGUGCAGGUAGUGUCCACUCAUCUACUGCAUUACGAGCACUUCCAGUGCUGCCAGCUGGAGAGCCCCAGCCUCGCUCGCCCGCUUGCCCGCUCGCCCUUCACCCACUCAAACGGUCCUGGUACUGAGCACUGGUCUAUGGUUAGUUUUGCAGGUUUGCAUCCAGCUGUAUAAUACUCUGCUGUGCAAAUCCAUGCAAAACUGACUGUGGUGGUGAAAAGUCUGUAGAACAGUGAGGGAAAAUCAAACCCCUUUCUACACAGGCUGGGAUUUGUUGCAAUGCUGUGUUUCUCGAUGGUAUUGCACUUGUCCCGGCCUGUUGAGUUUGGUGGGGAUUGUGACCAGAAGAUGUGAAAAUUAAAUAUUGCUGAAGAUGCCAUGCCGAUUUCCACUGUAAAAAUGUUAUGGUGUACGAACUCGUUGUAACUUUUAUUGCUUUCACUAGUGUAACACAAGUUUUUUUAUUGGAAUUAGGUUUUUAGUUUUACUAAACCAUUUCACUUGGGGUUUGCAUGUCUGGUUUACAGGUUUUUUGUGUGUGGGCUUAGAGACCCACAGGUAUUCUGGUAUGUUGUUACAGUGGUGCCCUACUCUUACUUGGAACCUAGAGGGUCCAGGUUUAUUUUACUCAAACCCUUAUUCAAUUGACAGGAGUUAACAAAACUAGUCUUUGAAUCACUGUGUAGAGAGGGUUUUUCUAUUAAAGUGUGACAUUUAGGAUGAGGUUUUUCUGGUGCUACUGUUGCUGAUGCGUGAGAUUGGUGGCAGCAGCUAACAGGUGGUUAGCUCUGUGUUGCUGGUGUGCAUGCCGUGUAAGUAGGACCUUCAAACUGUUAGCAUGUGCUGCCUGAAAAAGCAAAGAUGACGAACAAGGUGCACUGGAAUUCAUAUCAGAAAAUGUUUGCAGUUAGAGUUCCUGUGUCUAGAAUUGGGCAGCACUGUUGGUUCCAGGCUGUGUGAAAAGAUGCCAUUGGAAUGAAACCUAAGAAUAGUCAAAUGAAUAAGGGUGAGCCGUUAAACCAGAUCAGAGCUGAUAGUAUUUAGGCAAGUGUAUAACCCUGAAAAAAGGAUUGUCUUAAUUUGAAAUUUUCAUAGCCUUUGCUUUAGACCGCCCAAAGUUAAGUUUGCUGUCUCUUGUGUUCUGCUUUUUAAAAGAAAUGUAAGAAGCUUAAGUCUUGGAUUCCUGAGCAGCAAGGUAAGGACUUUGCAUAUGUGGAGUUGACUGUAAGAUACCAGGUUCAGGAUCAUCAGAAUUGUACAAUGAUUAAGAGUUCUUACACCUUAGGAGUGAAUUAAAGUUGCUUUAGGUGAUUACUUAAACAUUGUUUAACAUGGCAAGUCCUAUAAUAAUAUCAACAUGAUUCAUGUACUUCUAUAUAAAGGGGUUCUAUCAAUUGUGUAUUCUUAGUGUCAUUGGAUGGCAUUUGUGUUUAGAAUGUUGUUGACUUGAAUUGAGAUUUCAUUCUAGUAAGGAAAGUGAUAAAUACAUUUCCUUAUGGGCCUCACAGUAAAGCAGAGUUUUUUCCAAGAUUCUUUUCAGUUUUCACUUAAAAAGUUUGGCUCCACACUAAGAGCAUCAAGCAGAUCUAUAAAUUUUGUUUCAACAGAUGGGGAGACCACUUGAUGUCUUGUUUCUAAUUUAAAAACAGAUUAGGUCUUUACACAUUGAUGUUGGUGACUUAGGCCUGAAGGCUCUUUCAGGAAAGGAGACUUACUGUUUUCUUGUAUGUUGAAUGUAAAUAGUUCUUAAGUUUGUCCUGUACUAGGAAGGAGGCACUAUUAAGACUUUACAAAGUGUUGAUUUCACUAAAAGCCCUUGAGAUGUUCGUUUUCACAGGCAAGCCUAAGCACAGAAAACCAACCAGCUGGACUUUUCCUUCCCUGUGCGUGGUUUGAAGAGUCAGUGCUACGUAAUUCCUGACACAGUGCAACCUGCAGCUGCUGGGAGAGAGAACGAUUCAGGGUUACUAAGUCUGUUGUAUGUAUAUGGACUUCUGUUCUGUAACUGACACUAUGUGGUUGUCUGUCCUCAGAGCAUUAGUAGGUGAGUCAGGCUAAGCAGUGGAGAAACUCAGUGGGCAGGGUCCAUUCUGGGUGUCUUAAUGACUGCCAGUGAGCCCCCCGUCACCUUGUAUAGAGGUGUCUGCUUUGUCACAAUUCUGGGCUUUUCUGUUUGGGUAAGCAGUUUAUAUCAUAUUGCUAAUUUAUAAAGGAUCUGCUCAGAAAGUGCCCUGUGAAUUUUAAGGCAUGGAAGAUUGCUGCAGGGUUUCAGGGUCGUCCCCCCCACACACACACACCCCAUUAUCUGACAUGGGCAGAGCCUUCAGAGGUACAGGGCUAGCAUGGUGACAAACUUAGUGUUGUUCAGUGGUGCAUUUAAUCCUAAUAAAUGCUACCUUUUAAACUUCAUGUACAUAAUGAGUAUGUUGAAAUAAAGUUCACUUGUGGCACUGGUGCUCUUGUAUCUUUUUUUUUCCUACAAGUAGCCUGAAUGUGUUCCCUGUAGAGGGUGUGGGAACCAGUCUUUAAGCAUGGAGUUUGUAUUUCUGUCUUAGUUUUACAGGUAAGAAGAAGCAUUAGGAAAGGUGGUAUAUUCCCUUAAGUCAAACCAAAGGAUAAGGCACAUUAGGCCACCUUUCCAAAUAGACCAGAAGGGCUACCUUGAUUUGGGUUCCUACCAUGAUUUGGAGAGUCACUUUUGAUAUUAGCUGGGCAUGUAAAGUCAUUCUGACUAGGAUGUAUAUACAUGUCAGAAUGUAUUUAAGUGGUGUGCUAAGUUAAAAACUUGACUGGACUGAUGUUCCACAUGUGCAAAGCUGGUUAUAUUGUAAUGUAUUGAAAAUGUUUUUUAAGCAGUGUCACUGAAGAUUUACUACAUUAAUAGAUUUCCAAAAGUCAAGAUACAUUAGAAACAAGGUACCAAUAAAGGCCAUUGCUCAUGCAAUGGAAAUAAGUAAAUGCAAUGUGACUAUAGUACUUCUGUGUACUUCUGUGUAUGUUCAUCUUAUUGAUUAUUGAAUAAAGUACUAUUUGGCCAAUGAGGCAGCAAGUUAGACGGGAGUAGGAGUCAAAGAGGAUUCUGGGAAAUGUAGUAAAGAAGUCAUGAUCCAGGCAGAAAAUGACAUAGUAGGGAGACUCAUAUUUAAGGAAGGACAAGCAGGAGUGGCCCCUUUUCCCCUCCACUCUUCCUCCAGCGGUGCCAUGUGAUCCACCAGCGAGGGAGGACGCCAAUGGAAGGCGUCUAAUAAGUCUUAUAAAAUAUAUAGACAGGAUAAUUAAGACUGAGCUAAUAAGAUGAGAAUCCUAGUCAUUGGCCAAGUAGCGUUUGUACCUAAUGUUAGUCUGUGCAUAAAUUGGGGCCCUAACUUGGUGGGCAGAACUCAGUCUACGUGGCAGUAGGGCUCGGGCAGGUUUUGGCGGAAAGAUUCAUUGUAACAAGUAUUAUUGUAUAAAGUAUUGAACAUGAUUGAAAGUGAGUUUUGAGUUUGUUAAUGUGCAUACUUGCUGAGCCACAUGUCCUUGCUUAGGAUCUGACGGUAUGGAUAGAGGACCCCCCCUCCCUAGUAACAGCUAGAGAAGCUAGGACUUGCAGAGGAGUCGGCUCUAUGGAGGCUUGUGUGUGUCUUGGUUUAGUUCCUGAACAGAAGGCAUAGUGGGGAGGGGCAGGGACAGCAGGGUUGUCCACGUGAGUUGACUUAACAGAUGUCCUUUGGAGUGCUUGAGCAGUGGGUGAGAAAGGGUUGUCUGGGUUUUCCUGUGUAUGAUGUUGAGACCGAUGUAGGCCGUGUGCUGAGUUGUCCUAAGUCAUGAACCAUAAGAACACUUAGGAACCUUGAAGCAAUCCAUGCCUACAUGGAGGUAGAGUAAACGGAUGAGGUUUUGUGACACGGAUGUGUUCAGUUUCUUAGGUUUAUAGAUGAUUUGCUAGCUGCAAAGUAGAAUUUUUUUGUGUAUAGCACUUUUUUUUUCUACAGUUCGAGAUAGUAAUGGCCAGUUUUUAAGCCCUCAACAGCAGUUAGCGUAAUUGAAAAUUGCACUUAAUACUGACUUCCAAAGAUUUGAGCCUUUAUGCCAGAAAUGUACACAUGUGUUUUACAUGGUACUGUUUUUCUAGUUUCUCUGGCCCCAAACUUCAAAUCUGCCCCCUGUGUUUUCAAAUGGUAGCUAAAGUUCUAAGGUCCACUUAGUGUUUUCUUUCAGCUUGAGAGCUCUGUUUGACCACCACCGUGUGUGCACACAUCCUCUGCUCCCUGCCUUUACCUUUUUAGGUGGGCUCAUGGUGAACUUGCUCAUAUCAGCCUAGCUCCUCAAGUGUGUGUGUUAGAUCAAUCUCCACAGGACAAGUUAUCACCUGGCAUAUUGGAAAUGGAGAAGAAAUCUGAGGUGCUUUUCCAAGCCUCAUUGAUGCCUUCAUUCUUAUCGGUGGGAUGUGUGCCUGCUUCCAGCCAACAGUGGUAAUGUGUAAACUUGAGCCCAACGCAUAGAAUGUAAAGCCUCACUCUCCUGGUGUGUACAGCUCACAGACCUUCAAGAAAGUAGAUGUGCCUGUGCGUUAGUGCUGCUGGAAUGCAAAGAGCUUGAGGGAGUGAGUAGAGUGGGUAGAAUGUGAUCAACCAAAGCAAGCUGUAUGAAGGCAAGUUGGCAAGUGGGAGUGUUGGUUUCUACAGAAGAUUGGUAGAACUUAGCAGAAAUAAGUGCUAAUGACCCAGAAAAACAGUGUCAACUACUGGGAGUGUUUGGACAGUGCGUUUUCAGGGACUGAGAAUCAGCUUGAACCCUUAGCAAAUUUAAUGCUCAGGCUGCUUAUGACUUCCAUAAAAUACUGCAGUGGUUGGACUUAGGACCUUUUUUUCGUGUUGGGGUUUAUCUGUGUGGACCAGGUUGUCCUUGAUUCGCCUGCCCCCAAGUGCUGGGAUUAUAGACAUGCUUUCACUGCCCAACUGGUUUCUCAAAUCUCAAACCUAUAUUAGGGCCUGAACAUGGUGUUUGGUUUAGUGGGGGAGGGCAGUUUGUACAGUAUGCUCUGACCAUUCAUCCAAACCAGUAGCUUCAACUUGAUCUGGUCUGUUUUGUGCUACCCCUAAACUGCUCAGUGGAGCCACCCACUGGAGCAUGGUCAACCUACCAACAGUCUUUAAAACUUGACUACCCCACAGGCCCUCCAUGUCUGCAUUCCUCAGUGUGGGGCUGAGGCACCUGAGCCUCUUGCUCCUUCUGAGCAUGGAGAUGGCAGCCACAGCUACAUGGUAAGUUGUAGGCUAUGUGAAACCCUAUACCAAAACUGCAGCCACAGCCCAAGUUCUCCCUCUGCUCACCAGUCUUGUAUUCUGCAUUGGUACAUGUGUCGGUGCUAAUUAACUGCAAGUCUUCCUGCAUGGGGUUUCCAAGCAGACCAGGAACACAGGUGCUAGCACCUAGGGACAAAGCCAAUGAUGUCGGAAAUUUUUGUGAUGUGUGUAGUUAAAAUGAAGAAACAAGGAACCUUCUCAGAUUACAAAAUUACAGCAAAUGAUUUUCUUGGAACUUUGUAGUUUAAUGGUUUAUUGCCCCUGUAAUGUGUAAGCUCCAGUUUGAAGACCGCCCUUCUGAGUUACCGUGUGCUACUUGGCUAACAGGUUAAGUGUAAGAAGCCAAGGUUUUCCCACAUUGAAUGCUUAACCAGAUCAUCUCCCAAGAAGAGCAAGGCUUUAUUUUUCUCUAGAUUUUUUUAAAAUUUCAAUUUGAAGCAAUCUUACUUUACAUAGCAAAUUACAGCUCCUUCUCCCCUGCCCCCCAACCUCCCAUCCCACCUCCUUUCUGCUCCCCAGGGAGGGUGAGGCCUUCCAUGGGGCACUGAAAAGUAACCCUGUCACAUCAUUUGGGGCAGGGCCUAGGCCCUCUCCUAUGUAUCUGGGCUGAGAGAUUAUCUAUGGGGAAUGGACUACCAAAAUCCAUUUAUCCCAUGGGAUAAAUACUGUUCCACUACCAGAGGCUCCAUAGGUUGUCCAGGCCUUGUAACUGACACCUGUGUUCAGGGGGCCUGGUUUCCCAAUUGUCAAGUUGGGGACCAUGAACUUCACCCUUGUUCAGGUCAGCUGUUUCUGUGGGUUUCCCCAGUAUGGUCUUGACCCCUUUGCUCAUCACUCCUCCCUCUCUACAACUGGGUUCCAGGAGUUCAGCUCAGGUGUUUGGUGAGGAGGGGAGAAUGUAGGUGGUGGCCUUGGCUUGCCUACAGUGCGCUUUGCCCACCCAUAGUGUAGUCUAUUGCUUGUAGGUCUCAAAUGCCCUGUGGGAAAGGCCUCUGCUGCCCUAUUGAGUUGAUUUAGUAAAUGGUUGGAUUCUUUCAUUGUCUUUGAUUUUGUUCCUGCAGUGCCUUAUCUUAAGAUUACAGCCACAGUUUUCAGCUCUCUGGACCAGAAGUCUUGAGGUGGAUCUCAUUAGGCUUGAGAUUUGGAUAUUAGAAUGGAAAUGGUAUCAACAAGUCUGUUUCUGCAGCUCUAGGGGAUAUAGAGUUUCCUUGUCUCAGUCUAGCGGCUGCAUUUCUUGACUUCAUCUUUGCACAUGUAUCUCCUAUCCUCUUUCUCUUAGCCUUGACUCCAUCUGCCUCCUUUGCUGUGUAAGACAGUUGUAUGUUCCAUAGACAGUACUUUGUUUUCAUGGAAUCAUGUUGACUUUGUGUCUAUAGUCCUUUGUAACUCCUAGGGUUACAGAGUCCAGGAACGUUUGAUGCUCCUGAAGAUUUUUCCUUGUUGGCGUUUACUACCCUCUUAGAGCAAUGUAAGAAAAAGAUGGCAAGCCACAGUUGCCACUGGGUAAAAGCAAGCUCUGCUAGAAUGGAAGGGGCGUGCAGUGUUUCUCACUAGAGCUUUCUAGAAAGAGUGGUCCCCAGUCAGUUAACAGGCUAAUAAAGGUCUCUAGAAUAGGGAGGGAAAGGAAUAGAAAUAUUUGCUAGCCAAUACCAUGUAUAAACAUUCAAUCCAGGAUUGUUUUUCAGUAUGAAAAGAGACUGCUGUCAGGGUUUGAAAGUGUCAACUGCCUCCAAACUGGGCAAUGAGACCCUUCUGCAGGCAAGUUAAGAAAUAAUUUGUUAAAAGUGCUAGAACUAACAGUUUAUAAAGGACAAGAAGAAACUUUUAGAUGUAUUUAAGCUUUAUAACAUGGAAUCCUGGAUUAAUUUUGGCCAUUGGGAAUGUAGACAGCUAGACAAACGUGUCUUCAAAUUCUAUUAAACCUAGGUCCCUGAAAACAAAACAAAAAUCUUAAUUUGUUUCCCUUAAAAUGUAUGUAAAAUAGUAAGUAUCUGUAAGGUUUAAGUGUUGUGUGGUCAGUGCAAUCUUGGAUUUUAUUGCUAUUGUAUUUCUAUAAAGUUCUUCGAUGCCCUAGACUGUUUUGUUGUAGAGACUGAAGAGUGUUUAUGUUAGGGAAAGGGACAGCAGAGGAAUACAUACAAUAGUGGCUAAGGGGUAUCUGAUACAAAAGGAAAACUCCUCGGCCUGUUACAUGUGCUGUGCAUGAGUGACAUGCAUGGUUGAAAGGGCAGGUAAUAGAAAAUGUGCCUGGGUAAGAGUUCAGAGCAACUCUCAGAAGCAGCUACCACACUAACACUUUUACACAGACCUUCAAUCCCAGCAUUCUGGAGCGAGUUUAGACCAGCUUGGGCUACAUACUGAAUUUAAGGCUAUCUUUGGCAAUUACAGACACCCUGUCUACAAAGAAACAUUAAAUCCAGUUUUUCUGGUGUUUUAAGUAAAGAAGAGGCUUGGAGAUUGCGCAGAAGUUAAGAGCUCUCAAAGAGGACCAAGGCUCAAUUCCUGGUAUCCCUAGUAUCCACAUGGUGGCUCUCAACCAUGCAUAACUCCCAGGAGUUCCAGUCCUCUUCUGGCACCAGACAUACACAUACAAUACAUACAUGCGUACUGGCAGGCAUCACAUUCAUGUACAUGAAACAUGAGUCCAUGACCUCAAGAUGAAUUUCUGCUGUUUUUCAGCAGAUGGCCAUGGUCUAACUAAUGUGUGACCCUGUGCUAGAGGCUAGGAAUCUUUAAAGACACUGACUUUGGAGAGAAGUCCCAUCCAUGCAUGCAUAAGAUGGGAACUAGUAUAACAAAAUGAUGAUGAGCCACCAGACUCAAGUUAGCAAGUUAGCACCAGAGGAGGUCCUAGCAAGGAAUACUAACAUGGUGAGUACUGUGUACAUUUGCUGAACAUUACUACAGGCAACCCAAGGGGCAGACUUGUUACUUCAAUGUAGCAUUCAUAAAUAGAGUAAUGAAGUAGGUGGGGGUAUUUUUGACAAUUUGACCAUUGUAUGUUAGUCUUAACUGAUAUGAUGAGUCAUCAAAUACUUAAAUGUUUCUCAAAAAUACUAAGGAAAAAUUGAAUUAAUAGCCAAGUGAGUCCAUUCAGUGGUGACUGAAUACAGUCCUGGCUUUCUUGCUUGUAUAUGGAUGGGGACCUCUUUUUGGUGUAGAAGUGCUUGACUUCUUUAUAAUGAUGGAAUGUUAAGAAAUCAGAAACCCUAAAUAACAAGUUUAUUCAUCUUAAAGACAUUCAGUCCAGUUCAUUUUUAAAAGCUGGUAUAACAUUUUAAAUACAGAUUUGUCUCCAAAAGGAUGCCAUUCACAAGUACUUUUCAUUUUUGUAUAAGGCUAUUACUUUGAUUUCAUUUGUUUUGUUAAAAAAAAAAAAAAAGGUUAAGGGACAGCAAUACAUUUAGAAGCCGUAUAAUUCAACCUUAAAUUACAGGGUUCAUACACAUAUCCAGUUCUGUGUAAUGAUAGGGUCCAGAAAAGGCAAGCACUGAUUAACCUUAAAGAGAAAAAAGGCUAGCAGAAAAAUGGAAGAAUCGUACUUUGAUUAAUUCAAUGAGAUCAUGCUGUAGCAAUUUAAUAAACAUUCUGUAAUGGGAUUAUUUUAAACAAUGACAACUAUAACCCUUGUUUAAGAAACAAGGCUAGCUAACCGUAGCACAUGCUGCUGGGAUGCUAAAGACAGUUGUGAGGUUGAUAACUGACGUUUACACAUUAACCAUGCUGGAACACAGUCUUAAGUGCUGCUGACGCUAGUCUUUCCUCAACUCCAAAUAAUUGGGAGACGUUUGGGGAAAUCAAUCUCUAUUAAAUAGUUAACCAAAAGGCAUAUUUAUCUUAGCAAACAAAAGGCUUUCAAAAUGUUCCACUUUUGAAACUGCUUGAAUCAUUUAUGUUGACCCAGUGACUUUGUUUACAAAGGUUAACUGGAGUAGAGUUAAGCAAUUGUUGGGCACAUUUGGACAUUGUAAAUGAUCGUACAGGAUAAAAUGAAAGAAGUGAAUUUUUAAAGUUAGUGGUGAGCAGGCCUUCACUCCCCCAGAUGACUGCAGUAUUUACUUGAGAAGUUCUAGUUACGAGCCUGCCUGUUUCUGUCCGUGUGCAUAUUCUGUUUCUCUCCUCACCUCUUUAUGUCUCCCUCUUCUCAGUCCAGAGCGUCUGCACUUAGUGUUGCUUGUGUACUAGUUAUUAACAUGUUUAUCC